rnacentral:lncRNA from 1 species
AGUGCUUAGGUCCUUUGACACCGUUGGCGGGAGACUUUUCGUCGUUUGGGGUGGGGAUGAAAAACAUCAGCGUGUUUAUUCCUCAGGCAGCCCAGAAACCUUAGGUUUGCACCACCAGUAGCUUGGCAACGCGGUCACGGGUACACAGCACUGGCACAACAUGACUGUGUGUGUGUGUGUGUGUGUGUGUGUGCUAUGCUGUCCUAUGCUCAUGAUGCUCUCAUGGCCUUUCGCUACAACAGGUCCAAGGCCUUAUCAUUGCCGUCAUGUACGAGAAAUCCCGGGGAAGGCAGUCACGAUGGGCGCCGUACUUGAACCUGAUCCCGGACGACAUGACCCACAUGCCGCUGUACUGGAAGGUACGGUAAUGUACGGGAAAGGUGGAUCGUACCGUGGACACCGUGCCACUCGCCUCCCAAACUCUAUGCGCCGUGGCGAGAGCUCAUCUUCACGCACUCAGCGAGUUCUGGUCCCCCGCCCUUAAACCCCGUCUACGGACAGCAUAGGGAGUUCAAGGAGCUGCGUGGUACGGCAGCGUACGACAAGAUGAUGGGCAAGGUGCAGUGUCCCGCCGACGCACCCACGCAGGUCGGUUAACACUUUGUAUUGUAUGGGGUUGUCAUGUGCGUCGCAUCACUGCUCUUUUGCGGAUCGUGGUACGACACAUCACUGCUUUCCCCCCUCCCCGUUGACCGGGCGAUCUGCAAUCCUCCGCUGUACUGUGCAGGUCCCCGUUCUGUGGAGUGAGGUGGUGGAGCCCUUCAUCCAGGAGCACCCGGAAUUAGAGCUGCCGGAGGGGAAGGCGGGGUAUGACUUAUACCGCUGGGCCACGUGCGCUGUGGCGUCGUACAGCUUUAUCUUGGGUGAUGACAAGUACCAGGUGGGCAUUCCAGUCCUGUACGGCCGGGGGCUCGUGACUGCGGCUGCUGCAAAUGAUGUCGUACCAUGAGCACCUUAUCCAAUCUAACUACGAAAGCCCCCUUCAUUCUCUCCCCCCUCUUUUCCUCCCCCUCUCCCCCUCUCCCCCUCUCCCCAUCUCUCUCCUUUCCUCCUCUCAUUUCUUUCCCACAUGCGUAUGAAGCCCACCUCUAGGCGCCCUCCUGCUCACCCAGCACCCUCCUCCCCCUCCCCCUCCGUCCCCGCGCUGGCGGCCGCCCCAGGCGAUGGUCCCCGUCUGGGACCUGCUCAACCACAUCACAGGUCGGGUGAACGUCCGACUGCACCACUGCGCCAAGAGGUAAAGAAGAAGGGAGGAAAGGCGAUAUUCGGGGUGGCUGCACCCCGUAGGGCCCUCCUGGAGUGGGUGGACGGGUGGCGUCGCGGGCCCCAGGGGAGUGAGUACGACCGCUCGCUGCACGGGGCGAGGCCAUGCAAGCCAAUCGCCAAGCGUCCUUGCUAGGUUGGGGAUAACCCAACCAACCAACCAACUCCGGGCCCUAUAUCAGUUGGCAACUUGCUCAUUGGGUAACCGGUAUAUAUGUAUGUAUAUAUAUUAUAUAACCCCCGGACGACUGCUGAAGCCGGAAGGGCGGACAUGGUGAUCUCGUCGCAUGGCAGCUGUCCCGUGAGCCCACGGAGUUGUGUGGGAUGUGCCGAUGAGGCGGCGGCAUUUGGGGCGUGGCGUGAAGCGUGUAUGAGGUUGGCUGAUGUCGGCGCCUCACGCACCAAGAGCGCCGCCAGGAACGUACCCGCACCGCACGGGAGAGCGGGCGGGGAGCCGUGUCCGCGUUCUUAUCCGGCGGGUCUGUCCUAACCCGCCUAACCUUACCCGUCCUAACGGGGCACCGUGCGCCACCCUGCUGGGGAUGGAAGCACCCCCCAGGUCUCAGCAGCCACUGGAUUGCGCUUCCCGCUUGCGGCGUUGUUUGUUGCGCCGGUACUGCAGGCACGUGCUUCACAUGAUUGCCACUCGGGACAUCCUUCGCGGUGAGGAGCUGGUCAACAACUACGGUGAGCUUUCCAACGCGGAACUUCUGCGGGGGUACGGCUUCGUGGAGGCACGCAACCGGAACAAUCACGUACAGGUCGGUUGGGGAUUGAAGGAGGCUGCUGGUUUGGGAGGAGAGUUAAUAUGGCUGUGGAGCGGGUGCUGGAGCAAAGCGCGCUUCGCACAUGACGAGGAGGUAGCGGGUGACAAGAAAAUGAGGCGGGUCGGGGGCGGGUAAGGGGUGGGCCUCCCUCCCCCCAGCGUGCUGAGCCCGGGUAAACGCUAAGCCGCCAACCCCGUCACCAAUGCCUACCACUAUAGUUACCCAGUUACCGCCAGGCAAGGCUUGUCCGUUGAAGAGGGGCGGCUGCGGGGCCGACGGGGUGAGGGUGGGGAUGCUGGCACCUGCGUUUUGGUUUUGGGAGGGGAGCCAUACCCAGCCGCUGCCAUUGGACUCCGGCUCGCCCACGUGGCCCUCCGCGCAACCUGCCUAGGUUCCACUGGGCUUUGUGGUCCGUGCGGCGACGGAGCUUCUCCGAGAGGACAUCACGGCAGCGGCGGGUGCCGGCCCUGGACCCGGUCCUGGUAGUCAGUCCGACCAGGGGGAGAUACGAGCCCGCGCAUCUGCGCGGUUGCGCCUGGCUCGCCGGUGCGACCUGUUGCCACAGCACCAUGUGUUCAAAAUUUUCGAGGGGCGGCCACCUCCGCCCCCCAUGACUGCGCUCAUCCAUCUGCUGCUGGCGUCGGAUGCCGACAUUCCGGCUGUGCGGGGUGCUGUCCGCCGUGCAGCCGCGGCCGUAGUGGAAGGUGAGGAUGGCGCGGAUUGCGGCAAGGAUAAGGGCAAGGCCCGGCGGCGUAAUGUCGCGGCAGCUGGGGCGGUUCUACAAGCACGCACAGCGGCUGCGGUGGCGGCAGCCUUGGCUGGGAACGAGACGGCGCUGGCGCGGGUCGCGAGGGUGUACGACAUGAUUGUGCAGCGCAUGCUCGGCCGGUACAGCUGUGACCUCGCAGAGGACGACAGGUUGCUGGCGGAGGCGGAGGCAGGACGCCGAGUACUUCCGCCACGCUUACAUGCGGCGGUGUUGGCUCGGAAGCCGGAGAAGGACGCGUUGCUGAGUUUGCGGAAAUUCAUCGGUCAGGAAGGAGCUUUGCGUCAAUCCUUGGCUGUCAAUUCCGGCAAGAGCUUGUCGAAGACAGUCUUCGGAAUAGCAGGAGCAAAGGGGUCAGAGGAACAGCUCUCUGAACCGCUAAAAUACAGUCGUGCCAUGGCUAAGAGCUGUAGCGCUGCUCCUGUCAAUAAGUUUGCCCCUGCUUCGUUUUCGUUCGGUUUCUCUCUGUAAGUUUUGAGUUCGACUUGCUUCAGUUCGCUUUAAUAUGUGAGGAUUCAGCAAAACUGGGAGGAUCUAGUAAAACCAUUGCAUCUCAGGGAUAGCCGCUUCUGUUCAGUGCGUGCCAUUACAGAUUUUCGUAUCCCCGUCGGCAAGCGCAUGUUCCCAUCUGCAAUGGUACCCAACGCCCUCUUAGUGCUUAGCUGAGGAUGACGGUCACAAUCCAUGGAUCGCAGGUUACAGUGGCCAACGUGCCCGCAGGUAUAAAGGUGUCACUCUUCUCCUUCAAACGGCCUACCGAACCGCCACGGCUCCAAAAAAUGCUGGCUGUCCGAACCCGCAAAAAGACAACGAGGGCAUAGCACCCGGCAACCUUAACCAGGACAUAGCAGUCGGUCACAAACGCCAGAGCGACAGGCGCACAUUCACGUAUGACCGUGAAGACGUGCCGAUAUUGAACCGUCAGGUCGGGAACAGCCUCCCCAUACCGCCUCAAAUUGCUAUUUGUACAGAGACUCAGGCCCAGACAUCAUCGCUAAGCACUUCCCUCGAUGAAGCAGCAAAACGAGAGCCACAGGCGUGAGCGUCACGUGCAAGCACACGCUUCGGCGCAUUUACGAGGAGGGAGCCUCCUUCUCAAUGUACCUGAGCACGCAGAGAUGGGGGCAAUGAGGGGGGAAAAGAGAUUACGGGGAAAGGAAAUAGUUUUGUACACAGUAAUAGUCGCAUACAUACAACUUCAAAAAUCAAAAUGUGUGGCGUCCCGACACCAUGCUCCCAGCUACACCAGCACUCACACGAACAGCGUAGCCAUUCCGAUGGCUGGCAGAACCAGGCCAGUCAGGGGCACGAACAGCGAGGGAGCCCAGGCCGGGGGCACGAAGGGGUAGCCCUCAGCAGCGCUAGCAACGGUGGCGAUGACCUGCGAGGCCUCAGCCUGCAAGCAUACAAGUGGACGACGAAAGAUCGGUAGCCUGGGAGAGCCUCCGCUGCACUUCAGCAUAUUCCCAGACAAAGAUGCAAAAUCUGAUUGUGCAAACAGUACGCAGCCAUAUCUCUGAAGCUUGUAAACAGGACUGGACGGAAGCGCCUUCCCCAUCAAACAUAAACACAUAAACCAAAAUUAAGCGCUGAGUAGGAAAUGUCAGUUGCCCUC